rnacentral:rRNA from 2 species
CCAGUGGGCGUCCAUUAUACAUGCAGUCGAGCGGACAGAAGGGAGCUUGCUCCCGGAUGUUAGCGGCGGACGGGUGAGUAACACGUGGGUAACCUGCCUGUAAGACUGGGAUAACUCCGGGAAACCGGAGCUAAUACCGGAUAGUUCCUUGAACCGCAUGGUUCAAGGAUGAAAGACGGUUUCGGCUGUCACUUACAGAUGGACCCGCGGCGCAUUAGCUAGUUGGUGAGGUAACGGCUCACCAAGGCGACGAUGCGUAGCCGACCUGAGAGGGUGAUCGGCCACACUGGGACUGAGACACGGCCCAGACUCAUACGGGAGGCAGCAGUAGGGAAUCUUCCGCAAUGGACGAAAGUCUGACGGAGCAACGCCGCGUGAGUGAUGAAGGUUUUCGGAUCGUAAAGCUCUGUUGUUAGGGAAGAACAAGUGCAAGAGUAACUGCUUGCACCUUGACGGUACCUAACCAGAAAGCCACGGCUAACUACGUGCCAGCAGCCGCGGUAAUACGUAGGUGGCAAGCGUUGUCCGGAAUUAUUGGGCGUAAAGGGCUCGCAGGCGGUUUCUUAAGUCUGAUGUGAAAGCCCCCGGCUCAACCGGGGAGGGUCAUUGGAAACUGGGAAACUUGAGUGCAGAAGAGGAGAGUGGAAUUCCACGUGUAGCGGUGAAAUGCGUAGAGAUGUGGAGGAACACCAGUGGCGAAGGCGACUCUCUGGUCUGUAACUGACGCUGAGGAGCGAAAGCGUGGGGAGCGAACAGGAUUAGAUACCCUGGUAGUCCACGCCGUAAACGAUGAGUGCUAAGUGUUAGGGGGUUUCCGCCCCUUAGUGCUGCAGCUAACGCAUUAAGCACUCCGCCUGGGGAGUACGGUCGCAAGACUGAAACUCAAAGGAAUUGACGGGGGCCCGCACAAGCGGUGGAGCAUGUGGUUUAAUUCGAAGCAACGCGAAGAACCUUACCAGGUCUUGACAUCCUCUGAAAACCCUAGAGAUAGGGCUUUCCCUUCGGGGACAGAGUGACAGGUGGUGCAUGGCUUUCAUCAGCUCGUGUCGUGAGAAGUUGGGUUUAGUCCCGCAACGAGGGGCAUCCCUUGAUCUUAAUUGCCAGCAUUUAGUUGGGGCAUCCUAAGGUGACUGCCGGUGACAAACCGGAGGAUAGGUGGGGAUGACGUCCAAACAUCAUGCCCCUUAUGAACUGGGCUAACAAGGUGCUACAUUGGACAAAAAAAAGAGGUUCCCAACACCCCAGGUUUUAGCCAAUCCACCAAAAAUGUUUUCUAGUUGGGGAGCGGGGUUGCGAAUUAAGUAGGCGUGAAGUGGGAUCUCUUUAUUAUUCCGGGGUGUAAUGACGGCAGGAGAAAAAUUAUCCCGCGCUUUUUACAACA